NNNNNNNNNNNNNNNNNCACUUUGUGCCCCUUGGGUGCCAUUUUGGGGCCAUUUGGGGUCACUUUGUUCCCCUUUGGUGCCAUUUUGGGGCCAUUUUGGGUCACUUUGUGCCCCUUGGGUGCCAUUUUGGUGCCAUUUGGGGUCACUUUUGGGCCAUUUUGGGUCAACUUGGGGCCAUUUGGGGUCACUUUGUUCCCCUUUGGUGUCAUUUUGGGGCCAUUUGGGGUCACUUUGUUCCUCUUUGGUGCCAUUUUGGGGCCAUUUGGGGCCAUUUUGUGCCCCUUUGGUGCCAUUUUGGGGCCAUUUUGGUGCCUUUUGAUCCCCUUGGGUGCCAUUUUGGGGCCAUUUUGGGUCAUUUGGGGUCCAUUUGGGUCAAUUUUGUGUCAAUAUUGGGUCAUUUUGGGUCAACUUGGGGCCAUUUUGGGUCAUUUUGGGUCAACUUGGGGCCAUUUGGGGUCACUUUGUGCCCCUUGGGUGCCAUUUUGGGGCCAUUUGGGGUCACUUUGUGCCCCUUGGGUGCCAUUUUGGGGCCAUUUUUGUACCUUUUGAUCCCCUUUGGUGUCAUUUUGGGGCCAUUUGGGGUCACUUUGUGCCCCUUGCGUGCCAUUUUGGGGCCAUUUUGGGUCACUUUGUUCCCCUUGGGUGCCAUUUUGGGGUCAUUUUGGGUCACUUUGUGCCCCUUGCGUGCCAUUUUGGGGCCAUUUUGGGUCAAUUUUGGGCCAUUUUCGGUCAAGUUGGGGCCAUUUUGGUGCCUUUUGAUCACCUUGGGUGCCAUUUUGGGGCCAUUUGGGGUCACUUUGUGCCCCUUGGGUGCCAUUUUGGGGCCAUUUCCCCCAUUUCUGCCCCCUUUCCCCCCCAGGAUCGGAGGAGCGCCGCGCCGCAGAGCUGCACAUCCACCCCCAGUACGAUUUGGGGGGGAGAAGCCAGAGGGGGGUCCCCGAAUUCUACGACUACGACGUCGCUUUGGUGCAGCUCCAGGAGCCCCUGGACUUCACUGAUAGCAUCAGGUCACUGCUAUUAUGGGAUGGAGUCCCUGUGGGGUCCCUAUGGGUCCUUAUGGGGUCUCUGUGGGUCUCUAUGGGCCCUUAAGGGGUCUCUGUGGGGUCCCUAUGGGUCUCUAUGUGUCCCUAUGGGGUCUCUAUGGGUCCUUAUGGGAUCCCCAUGGGUCCCUAUGGGUCUCUAUGGGGUCUCUUUGGGGUCUCUAUGGGGUCCCUAUGGGUCCCUAUGGGGUCCCAAUGGAUCCCUAUGGGUCCUUAUGGGGUCUCUGU
rnacentral:lncRNA from 1 species